CUUGGAUAUGGAAGAGGGAAUGGGAUCUUGGCUAAAUAUAGAUCUUAGCAUCGGGACAACAAAUUUGAAGCUGUCAAUCAAGUUAGCAAGUUCCUACCCAUCAGCUGAGCUUGACCUGACCCUGAACAAGGUAACAUGUUUCACGUUACCUUAGCUCCCAAGUUACUGUCCAUCAGCUGAGCCAUUGGUUAGGUUUGAUUUACUGCCCAUGCCCUCAGUGAUGGCUGCUGGUCUGAAACCCAGAAGAAAAUGGAAGCCCAUCGCAACCACUCUGAAAUUCCAGGUUGGAUCUGGGAGUCCAUGUCUGUCCCAUAUCUCAAGGUUCAUGCAAUGAAAUGCUCACUUGCAUACAUGUCUACAGCAUCUCCUAAAAACUGUACAAGUAACAGGAUGGCACACAGGCUAUUUCCUUCACUAUUCUCCAAAAAUAUGGUUACAUUGUUAAUCAAAUCAUUCCGUUAGAAAUGAAUAAAUUAUACCCCCUGUUCAACUUCAGGGUGCAAGCCAGCCCGUAGAGUCUGGGACCUCUCCUUCCGCCUUUCUUUAUUCCAAUAUUGUACUAAUGACUAGUACUAUUGUACUAAUGACUAGUACUAUUGUACUAAUUGGUAUUCCCAUAUCGUACUAAUUUCUUCGUACUGUGAACUGGGAUUAUCGGAGCCAAGGCUGUUUUAUACACUGUUGUCUCAAAUAUCAGGAUAACCAAUUAAAAACAAUUACCUUCUCCAUCUCCCAGCUCUUCCCCUUGUGUCUUUCAGCUGUUUGCACCAAGAAGAUCUGUGUGCUGACAAAAGAGCCUUGUUCUCCACUGCUCUUUUGACUAAGUUCAAAUCCUGCUGCACCCUUUGUGCGUGACUCAAGUCCUGCCCCUGCAGAAGCAUGGGAUCACAAUCCCAGCGUUGCUCUGUGGCAGCACGGUGGCAAACGCAGCCCCGCAGGACCCAAGCGCCUCUGCCUGCCGACGGACCGUUCCCAGGCCGCCCGUCCGGGACUCCGCUGCUCCUGACCAGCUGCAAAGGGCUGGCUCCAGCGAGGAACGGAGUGCGGCACUCUUGUUUGUCGCGGCCCCUUGCUGGGUGCAYGGGCUGUUCCCUGUCUCGGGCUGCCACUGGCACAGUGCACCAGAGGAACCAGCACACAGGCAAGCCCGGGGUAUCUCUGUUUGACACCCAGCACUGACAUGUGAGCAUGCAGAGCUAUUUAUGUGCAUAGUUUACAUACACUCUUUUGCCAGGAAAGCUUUAUGUCAAAACAGCAUACAUUCAGGGGAGGGAACCUUUUCCUAAACUAGAAGGUUAGUUUG
rnacentral:lncRNA from 1 species